GCUACUACGCCACUCGGUGAAUGGCUCGGCUCGAGUGCCGACGAAGGACGUGCCAAGCUGCGAUAAGCCCGAGGGAGCUGCAUGGAAGCGAAGAACUCGGGAUGUCCGAAUAGGAAUCCUCUCCGCAAUUGCCUUGCGCAAUGGGGAACGCCGGGAAUUGAAACAUCUCAGUACCGGCAGGAAGAGAAAGCAACUGCGACGUCGUUAGUAACCGCGAGUGAACGCGACACAGCCCAAACUGAAGCCCUCACGGGCGAUGUGGUGUUCGGGCUGACUCUCAUCACGCGACAGCCGUCGAGAACUCUCCUGGAAGGGAGGACGAUACAGGGUGACAGUCCCGUAUCGACGACCGGUAACGUGUGCGUCAGUCCCAGAGUAUCGGGGGUUGGAAUUCCCUCGUGAAUACGGCAGGCAUCAACCUGCUAAGGCUAAGUACAACUCGAGACCGAUAGCGAACAGUAGUGCGAACGAACGCUGAAAAGUAUCCUCAGAAGGGAGGUGAAACAGUGCCUGAAAUCGAGUGGGUAUAGAACGACGGGGCAUACAAGGUCCUGUACAAAACGACCCAGAUGCGAGUCUGCAGUAGGACGUACAGGAAGCCGAUGUCGUGUCGUGCGUUUUGAAAAACGAGCCAGGGAGUGUGUUUGCGAGGCGAGUCUAACCCGAUUAUCGGGGAAGGCACAGGGAAACCAACAUGGCCGCAGCGCUUUGCGCCAGGGCCGCCGUCUUCAAGGGCGGGGAGUCCCGCUGACACGACCCGAAACCGGACGAUCUACACGUGGGCAAGGUGAAGCGUGCCGAAAGGCACGUGGAAGCCUGUUAGGGCUGGUGUCUUACAAUACCCUCCCGUGACCUUCGUGUAGGGGUGAAAGGCCCAUCGAGUCCGGCAACAGCUGGUUCCAACCGAAACAUGUCGAAGCAUGACGUCCGCCGAGGUAGUUCGUGAGGUAGAGCGACCGAUUGGGAUGCUUCACUCCGAGAGGAGUGAACUUCCCUGUCGAACUCCGAACUUACGAACGCUGUCGACGCGGGCAGUCCGGUGCGCGGGGUAAGCCUGUGUACCGUAAGGGAGACAACCCAGAGCUAGGUUAAGGUCCCCAAGUGUGGACUAAGUGUGAUCGAAGGUGGUCUCGAGCCCUAGACAGCCGGGAGGUGAGCUUAGAAGCAGCUACCCUCUAAGAAAAGCGUAACAGCUUACCGGCCGAGGUUCGAGGCGCCGAAAAUGAUCGGGACUCAAGUCCACCACCGAGACC
rnacentral:rRNA from 1 species